rnacentral:rRNA from 1 species
AAUCAACGCUGGCGGCGUGCCUCAGACAUGCAAGUCGAACGAUUAAGACUUCCUUCGGGAAGUGUAUAAAGUGGCGCACGGGUGAGUAACACGUAAGUAAUCUACCUUCGAGUGGGGAAUAACAUCGGGAAACCGAUGCUAAUACCGCAUAAUGCAGCGGCAUCGCAAGAUGACAGUUGUUAAAGGAGCAAUUCGCUUGAAGAGGAGCUUGCGGCAGAUUAGCUAGUUGGUAAGGUAAUGGCUUACCAAGGCUACGAUCUGUAUCCGGUCCAAGAGGACGGUCGGACACACUGACACUGAAUAACGGGUCAGACUCCUACGGGAGGCAGCAGUCGGGAAUUUUGGGCAAUGGGCGAAAGCCUGACCCAGCAACGCCGCGUGAGGGAUGAAGUAUUUCGGUAUGUAAACCUCGAAAGAAUGGGAAGAAUAAAUGACGGUACCAUUUAUAAGCUCCGGCUAACUACGUGCCAGCCGCCGCGGUAAUAC